rnacentral:rRNA from 1 species
UACGUAGGGUGCGAGCGUUGUCCGGAAUUAUUGGGCGUAAAGAGCUUGUAGGCGGUCUGUCGCGUCUGCUGUGAAAAUCCGGGGCUCAACCCCGGACUUGCAGUGGGUACGGGCAGACUAGAGUGUGGUAGGGGAGACUGGAAUUCCUGGUGUAGCGGUGAAAUGCGUAGAUAUCAAGAGGAACACCGAUGGCGAAGGCAGUUCUCUGGGCCGUAACUGACGCUGAGGAGCGAAAGCGUGGGGAGCGAGCAGG